rnacentral:lncRNA from 1 species
CGGUCGCCGUGGAAGCCCAGCUUGUGGGCCUGCCCGUGUAGCUGCCGCCCCUCGCCGGCUGCCGCCAGCCGGGCGCACGCCUUGAGGAGGAAGGUGAAGGUGAAGUUGUCCCCCCUGGAAACCCUCCUCCUCCUCCUUCAACUCCUUGUAGAGGAGGACCGCCGCCAAGGGGUCCCCUGCAAGGACAUGCCCUCUGAUGAGCGUGUUCACGUCGUAGGUCGUCGGCGCGGCGGCGCGGCGGAAGAUGGAGACGGCGUACUCCAUGCUGCCCCACUCCGACAGCGCACAGGACGCGAUGAGGCUGCUGGCGCAGCGGGGGUCGCCGUCCUGCCCGAGCUUGAUGAACUGGGCGUGCGCCUGCCGGAAC